GUGAACGCUGGCGGUUGGCCUAACACAUGCAAGUCGAACGGCAGCACAGUAAGAGCUUGCUCUUACGGGUGGCGAGUGGCGGACGGGUGAGGAAUACAUCGGAAUCUACUUUUUCGUGGGGGAUAACGUAGGGAAACUUACGCUAAUACCGCAUACGACCUACGGGUGAAAGCAGGGGAUCUUCGGACCUUGCGCGAUUGAAUGAGCCGAUGUCGGAUUAGCUAGUUGGCGGGGUAAAGGCCCACCAAGGCGACGAUCCGUAGCUGGUCUGAGAGGAUGAUCAGCCACACUGGAACUGAGACACGGUCCAGACUCCUACGGGAGGCAGCAGUGGGGAAUAUUGGACAAUGGGCGCAAGCCUGAUCCAGCCAUACCGCGUGGGUGAAGAAGGCCUUCGGGUUGUAAAGCCCUUUUGUUGGGAAAGAAAAGCAGCAGGUUAAUACCCCGCUGUUCUGACGGUACCCAAAGAAUAAGCACCGGCUAACUUCGUG
rnacentral:rRNA from 1 species